UGCUGUCUGAGGUUGAGGUUUUCGAGUGU
rnacentral:piRNA from 1 species